rnacentral:rRNA from 1 species
CUCGUAGGCGGUUUGUCGCGUCGGGAGUGAAAACCUCGGGCUUAACUCGGGGCUUGCUUUCGAUACGGGCAGACUAGAGGUAUGCAGGGGAGAACGGAAUUCCUGGUGUAGCGGUGAAAUGCGCAGAUAUCAGGAGGAACACCGGUGGCGAAGGCGGUUCUCUGGGCAUGACCUGACGCUGAGGAGCGAAAGUGUGGGGAGCGAACA